GGUGAACCUGCGGAAGGAUCAUUACCGAGUGAGGGCCCUCUGGGUCCAACCUCCCACCCGUGUCUAUCGUACCUUGUUGCUUCGGCGGGCCCGCCGUUUCGACGGCCGCCGGGGAGGCCUUGCGCCCCCGGGCCCGCGCCCGCCGAAGACCCCAACAUGAACGCUGUUCUGAAAGUAUGCAGUCUGAGUUGAUUAUCGUAAUCAGUUAAAACUUUCAACAACGGAUCUCUUGGUUCCGGCAUCGAUGAAGAACGCAGCGAAAUGCGAUAAGUAAUGUGAAUUGCAGAAUUCAGUGAAUCAUCGAGUCUUUGAACGCACAUUGCGCCCCCUGGUAUUCCGGGGGGCAUGCCUGUCCGAGCGUCAUUGCUGCCCUCAAGCACGGCUUGUGUGUUGGGCCCCCGUCCCCCUCUCCCGGGGGACGGGCCCGAAAGGCAGCGGCGGCACCGCGUCCGGUCCUCGAGCGUAUGGGGCUUUGUCACCUGCUCUGUAGGCCCGGCCGGCGCCAGCCGACACCCAACUUUAUUUUUCUAAGGUUGACCUCGGAUCAGGUAGGGAUACCCGCUGAACUUAAGCAU
rnacentral:rRNA from 1 species